GAUGAACGCUAGCUACAGGCUUAACACAUGCAAGUCGAGGGGUAACGAGAGGAAAGCUUGCUUUCCUUGUCGACGACCGGCGCACGGGUGAGUAACGCGUAUCCAACCUGCCCCCAACUAGGGAAUAACCUUGCGAAAGUAAGACUAAUACCCUAUAAUUUCCUCAGAUGACAUCUGACGAGGAAUAAAGAUUUAUCGGUUGUGGAUGGGGAUGCGUCUGAUUAGCUUGUUGGCGGGGUAACGGCCCACCAAGGCAACGAUCAGUAGGGGUUAUGAGAGGAAGGUCCCCCACAUUGGAACUGCGACACGGUCCAAACUCCUACGGGAGGCAGCAGUGAGGAAUAUUGGUCAAUGGGCGGAAGCCUGAACCAGCCAAGUAGCGUGCAGGAUGACGGCCCUAUGGGUUGUAAACUGCUUUUAUACAGGAAUAAAGUUAGCCACGUGUGGUUAUUUGUAGGUACUGUAUGAAUAAGGACCGGCUAAUUCCGUGCCAGCAGCCGCCGUAA
rnacentral:rRNA from 1 species